rnacentral:tRNA from 1 species
GUGCCGUUGCGCAGCGGGAGAGCAUCCGCGAAGUCGUCGUUCGCAGGCGCGGGGGCGCGGCCCAGAGGGACGGUUCCGAGGUCGGCACGGGGCC